rnacentral:rRNA from 1 species
GAGGAAACUUGUGCUAAUACCGGAUAAGCCCUUACGGGGAAAGUUUUAACGCCGAAAGAUGAGCCCGCACUUGAUUAGCUAGUUGGUAGGGUAAUGGCCUACCAAGGCAACGAUCAAUAGCUGAUCUGAGAGGAUGAUCAGCCACAUUGGGACUGAGACACGGCCCAGACUCCUACGGGAGGCAGCAGUGGGGAAUCUUGCACAAUGGGGGAAACCCUGAUGCAGCGAUGCCGCGUGAGUGAAGAAGGCCUUUGGGUUGUAAAGCUCUUUCGUCGGGGAAGAAAAUGACUGUACCCGAAUAAGAAGGUCCGGCUA